rnacentral:sRNA from 1 species
CUGGUUAAAGAACAAGCUUUUGGUGCUUGAAUAGGGCCUUUACCUUCUAAUGCAAAAGCUGCCAUCAACCUUCAGAAUGACCCCAUCAUUCAAAAGUAUGGCUCUAAGAAAGUGGGCUUGACCAGAUGCCUUCUGACAAAAGAGGAAAUGAGAACGUUUCACUUUCCAUUACAAGGUUUUCCUGAUUGUGAAAACUUUUUACUUACCAAAUGUAAUGGUUCCAUAGCAGACAAUAGUCCUCUCUUUGGACUUGACUGUGAAAUGUGCCUCACAUCCAAGGGGAGAGAGCUAACACGCAUCUCACUGGUUGCUGAAGGAGGCUGCUGUGUUAUGGAUGAACUGGUCAAACCUGAAAACAAGAUUCUGGACUACCUCACCAGCUUUUCAGGAAUCACGAAGAAGAUUCUUCACCCAGUGACGACCAAACUCAAAGAUGUACAGAGGCAGUUAAAAGCACUGCUUCCUCCUGAUGCUGUGUUAGUGGGCCACUCCUUAGAUUUGGAUCUCAGAGCACUGAAAAUGAUACAUCCAUAUGUUAUUGAUACAUCAUUGCUUUAUGUCAGAGAGCAAGGCAGAAGAUUUAAGCUAAAGUUCUUAGCCAAGGUUAUUUUGGGGAAGGAUAUACAGUGUCCAGACAGACUUGGUCAUGAUGCCACAGAAGAUGCUAGAACAAUCCUUGAAUUGGCUCAGUAUUUCCUUAAGCAUGGCCCAAAAA